CAGGGAAUAUUGCACAAUGGACGGAAGUCUGAUGCAGCGACGCCGCGUGGACGAAGAAGGCCUUCGGGUUGUAAAGUCCUUUUCAGGGGGAAGAGACAGGACGGUACCCCUGGAAUAAGCGUCGGCUAACUACGUGCCAGCAGCCGCGGUAAGACGUAGGACGCGAGCGUUAUCCGGAUUUACUGGGCGUAAAGCGUCUGUAGGCGGGGGGGUAAGUUGGGCGUGAAAGCUCCGGGCUCAACUCGGAGAGGACGCACAAGACUGCCAAUCUAGAGGCCACCAGAGGGGCGUGGAAUUUCCGGUGUAGCGGUAAAAUGCGCAGAUAUCGGAAGGAACACCAGUGGCGAAGGCGGCGCCCUGGGGUGGGCCUGACGCUAAGAGACGAAAGCUAGGGGAGCGAACAGG
rnacentral:rRNA from 1 species